GGACAAGGAAUUCUAAUGAAAAGAAAAUCAAAUCUCAAGAUCACAACUUACUCAGACAAUGAUUGGGCUAGAUGUCCUCGUAGUAGGAAAUCAAUCACAGGAUAUUGUGUGUUUAUUGGAGACACUCUUGUCAAUUGGAAAUCCAAAAAGCAAGCUGUUGUUGCUCGCAGUUCUGCUGAAGCAAAGUAUCGUUCCAUGGCUUCCACCUGUUGUGAAUUAAUGUGGCUGAAGUACUUGCUGGCUGAUUUUAAGAUAGACCAUGAUGAUCCUAUAGACUUGUAUUCAGAUAGUCAAUCUGCCAUUCAUAUAAGCAAGAAUCCUGUGUUCCAUGCACAAACAAAACACAUCGAGAUGGAUUGCCACUUCAUCCGAGAAAAGGUGUUGGUAGGUACAAUUAAACCUCUUCACAUAUCCACUGAUCUGCAAGUAGUUGAUAUUUUUACCAAGGCUUUGUUACCAAAUCAAUUUUAUAAGCUACUAGGCAAGAUGAGUGUUCAUGAUAUUCACACCUCCUCUUGAGGGGGAGUGACAAACAGGAUCCAAGAAUAAGUCCAGAAUUCUUCAAGACUCGAGUGAGAGUGCUGCAGAAAAGAACAGAAGAAAGAAGUUCAAG
rnacentral:lncRNA from 1 species